CGCUCGUAGUCGGAUUUCGGGGCGGGGCCGCCGGUCUGCCGAUGGGUACGCACUGGCGGGCGCGUCCUUCCUUCCGGAGACUGGCCCUACUCUUAGCUGAGCGGGGUCGGGAGUCGGAUCGUUUACUUUGAAAAAAUCAGAGUGUUUCAAGCAGGCAAUUCGCUCUUGCAUGGAUUAGCAUGGGAUAAUGAAAUAGGACUUUGGUGCUAUUUUGUUGGUUUCGAACACCGAAGUAAUGAUUAACAGGGACAGUCAGGGGCACUCGUAUUCCGCCGAGAGAGGUGAAAUUCUCAGACCAGCGGAAGACGAACCACUGCGAAAGCAUUUGCCAGGGAUGUUUUCACUGAUCAAGAACGAAAGUUAGGGGAUCGAAGACGAUCAGAUACCGUCGUAGUCUUAACCAUAAACCAUGCCGACUAGGGAUCGGCGGAAGUCCUUCUUUGACUCCGUCGGCACCUUGAGGGAAACUAUAGUCUUUGGGUUCCGGGGGGAGUAUGGUCGCAAGGCUGAAACUUAAAGGAAUUGACGGAAGGGCACCACCAGGAGUGGAGCCUGCGGCUUAAUUUGACUCAACACGGGGAAACUUACCAGGUCCAGACAUUGUGAGGAUUGACAGAUUGAGAGCUCUUUCUUGAUUCGAUGGGUGGUGGUGCAUGGCCGUUCUUAGUUGGUGGAGUGAUUUGUCUGGUUAAUUCCGUUAACGAACGAGACCUUAGCCUAUUAAAUAGUGGCGCGAACACCUUGUUGGCGGUUCACUUCUUAGAGGGACAACUUGUCUUCAACAAGUGGAAGUUUGAGGCAAUAACAGGU
rnacentral:rRNA from 1 species